rnacentral:rRNA from 1 species
GACGAACGCUGGCGGCGUGCUUAACACAUGCAAGUCGAACGGAAAGGCCCUGCUUUUGUGGGGUGCUCGAGUGGCGAACGGGUGAGUAACACGUGAGUAACCUGCCCUUGACUUUGGGAUAACUUCAGGAAACUGGGGCUAAUACCGGAUAGGAGCUCCUGCUGCAUGGUGGGGGUUGGAAAGUUUCGGCGGUUGGAGAUGGACUCGCGGCUUAUCAGCUUGUUGGUGGGGUAGUGGCUUACCAAGGCUUUGACGGGUAGCCGGCCUGAGAGGGUGACCGGCCACAUUGGGACUGAGAUACGGCCCAGACUCCUACGGGAGGCAGCAGUGGGGAAUAUUGCACAAUGGGCGGAAGCCUGAUGCAGCAACGCCGCGUGCGGGAUGACGGCCUUCGGGUUGUAAACCGCUUUCGCCUGUGACGAAGUGUGAGUGACGGUAAUGGGUAAAGAAGCACCGGCUAACUACGUG